UACGGAGGAUGCAAGCGUUAUCCGGAAUGAUUGGGCGUAAAGCGUCCGCAGGUGGCUAUGUAAGUCUGCUGUUAAAGAGUGAGGCUCAACCUCAUAAGAGCAGUGGAAACUACAUGGCUAGAGUGCGUUCGGGGCAGAGGGAAUUCCUGGUGUAGCGGUGAAAUGCGUAGAGAUCAGGAAGAACACCGGUGGCGAAAGCGACUCUCUGGACGGCAACUGACGCUGAGGCACGAAAGCGUGGGGAGCAAACAGG
rnacentral:rRNA from 1 species